rnacentral:snRNA from 1 species
AGCUUUGCGCAGUGGCAGUAUCGUAGCCAAUGAGGUUUAUCCGAGGCGCGAUUAUUGCUAAUUGGAUAUUUGAAUGCCUCUUUAGAUUUGGAAAGUUUUCUUCCAAGAUUUCAUGGAAU